rnacentral:RNase_P_RNA from 1 species
CGAGCAAGCCAGACGGUCGCGCGGGGAAGCUUCGGCAGGCCCCGCGAGGAAAGUCCGGGCUCCAUAGGGCAAGGGUGCCGGAUAACGUCCGGCGAGGGUAACCUUAGGGAAAGUGCCACAGAAACACAUACCGCCCGCAAGGGUAAGGUUGAAAAGAGUGAGGUAAGAGCUCACAGCGCCGCAUGGUAACAUGCGUCGAGGGUAAACCCCACCCGGAGCAAGGCCAAUAGGGCAUGCCGGCGAAAGCCGGGGAGGCUGCCCGUCUCCGCCCGGAAGGUAGGCCGCAGGCGGAUGCUUCGGCGUCCCGGAGGGCGGCAGAGAUGCCGUCCCCAGAUAGAUGAUCGUCCACGACAGAACCCGGCUUACGGCUUGCUCGCUUA